rnacentral:rRNA from 1 species
AACGUAGGAGACAAACGUUAUCCGGAGUUACUGGGCGUAAAGGGCGUGUAGGCGGUUUGUUAAGUCUGGCGUGAAAGCUCUCGGCUAAACCGGGAGAGGUCGUUGGAUACUGGCAGACUAGAGGACGGUAGAGGCGUGUGGAAUUCCGGGUGUAGUGGUGAUAUGCGUAGAUAUCGGGAGGAACACCAGUGGCGAAGGCGGCUCUCUGGGCCUUUCCUGACGCUGAGGCGCGAAAGCUAGGGGAGCGAACAGG